rnacentral:tRNA from 1 species
GGAGGGUACAGCUCAGUGGUAGAGCGCAUGCUUAGCACGCACGAGGUCCUGGGUGCAAUCUCCAGAACCUCCU